AAAGUUCCAAAGGGAUCGCAUUGAUCUAAUGUCGUUGGGUACCUAAAUGAGUUAAUUAUAAAUCUAUAAUCCAAUUCAUUGGAUCAUGCGAUCCCUUAGGAAGUCUCC
rnacentral:tRNA from 9 species